UUCCAGACUCCUACGGGAGGCAGCAGUGGGGGAUAUUGCACAAUGGGGGGAACCCUGAUGCAGCGACGCCGCGUGGGUGAAGAAGCGCCUCGGCGCGUAAAGCCCUGUCAGCAGGGAAGAAAAUGACGGUACCUGAAGAAGAAGCCCCGGCUAACUACGUGCCAGCAGCCGCGGUAAUACGUAGGGGGCAAGCGUUAUCCGGAUUUACUGGGUGUAAAGGGAGCGUAGACGGCGAGGUAAGCCUGAAGUGGAAGCCCGCGGCCCAACCGCGGAACUGCUUUGGGAACUGUUUUGCUGGAGUAUGGGAGGGGUAAGCGGAAUUCCUGGUGUAGCGGUGAAAUGCGUAGAUAUCAGGAGGAACACCGGUGGCGAAGGCGGCUUACUGGACCAUAACUGACGUUGAGGCUCGAAAGCGUGGGGAGCGAACAGGAUUAGAUACCCCCGUAAG
rnacentral:rRNA from 1 species